CCUACGGGUGGCAGCAGUGAGGAAUAUUGGUCAAUGGGCGGGAGCCUGAACCAGCCAAGCCGCGUGAGGGAUGAAGGUACAGCGUAUCGUAAACCUCUUUUGUCAGGGAACAAAGACUGGGACGAGUCCCCGGAUGAGUGUACCUGAAGAAAAAGCAUCGGCUAACUCCGUGCCAGCAGCCGCGGUAAUACGGAGGAUGCGAGCGUUAUCCGGAUUUAUUGGGUUUAAAGGGUGCGCAGGCGGCCUUUUAAGUCAGCGGGGAAAGGCCCGGGCUCAACCCCGGGCCUGCGGUGAAAACUGGCAGGCUGGAGUUGGAGAGAAGCAAGCGGAAGUCGGGGUGUAGCGGUGAAAUGCUUAGAUAUCGCGCAGAACCCCGAUUGCGAAGGCAGCUUGCCGGCUCCACACUGACGCUGAGGCACGAAAGCGUGGGUAUCGAACAGGAUUAGAUACCCCUGUAGUC
rnacentral:rRNA from 1 species